rnacentral:rRNA from 1 species
GACAGAGGGUGCAAACGUUGCUCGGAAUUACUGGGCGUAAAGCGCGUGUAGGCGGGCCUUCAAGUCGGACGUGAAAUCCCUGAGCUCAACUCAGGAACUGCAUCCGAAACUGAAGGCCUGGAGUGGUGGAGAGGGAAGCAGAAUUCCUGGUGUAGAGGUGAAAUUCGUAGAUAUCAGGAGGAACACCGGUGGCGAAGGCGGCUUCCUGGCCAUUCACUGACGCUGAGACGCGAAAGCGUGGGGAGCAAACAGG